GCAGACUCACUCUGUUCUUAGUUGUUCUCCCCGACCAGGAACUUUUUCUGUCUGCUACAGAAACAGUCAGAAAGUACCAUGAAAUCCCAAUCUGGCCCUCUGCUGGACUGUGUUGGUAUCACUGUGACAAAGCA